CCAUUUUUAUUCGAAAACUGAACGUUUUAGGGGAGGUCAAAGGAGUUGACUUUUUAUACGUUCAUAAUUGGGGAAAACUUCCUUCAUGAAAGUUGUAGAGCUCGUCGAUACGAUCUCGUGCAUAUGUGGUAUGCAAAAAUCAGAGUUCGUAUGAAUUAGUUAUGAUUUUUUUGAAAAAGUUUCCAGUUUAGUAUAAAGCUGCCAUUUUUGGAAAUUACCAAAAAUAAUUUCAGUUCCAUUUCUGGAAACCGAACUCUCUCUCUCUUGCGCGCGUCCGAGCCCAGAAAAAACAGAGCAAAGCUCUCCGGCCGAGUUCUCCCUCCUCCGGCCACCAAUCGACACCAGACCACCUCCCUUGCCUUCGCCUCGACGCCGCCUACCUGCUAGACGUGAUCACUUCCACCGGAACGGCCUCAAAUCCGGCAGUCGGAGCCGCAAACUUUGAAACAAAAAUCGGUCAACGCCGGUUUUCUCCUAGCUCCGGCCACCAAAACUCACGAUCCUUAGCUCCCUGAACUCGCCUCAACCUUCUGAUCAUCAUUCUAGAAGGAUCGCACCUGGAGUGAUCGGAUUCACGUUCGUCGGAGCUCGCCGGAUUCUGGAAAUUUUCCACCACCACCGAAGCUUUUGAUAGAAGGAAUCGAAGCCUGAAAUUGAAGUUUUGACGUCGAAAUCAAGCCUUGCCGGAUUCUGCAAAAUUCUGGAAUUUUUCCGACCACCGAAGCUUUCGAUCGGUAUAUCUCGAGCUACAGACCAUAUUUUUCUGUGAUUCUUGAACCAGUGAGUUCUUCUUGAGUUUCUUAACAACUCUUCAGAAGGAAUCGAAGCCUUAAAUUGACGUUUUUACGUCGAAUUGGAGCUCGCCGUUUUCUGCAGUUUCUCGCCGGUUUCUGGAAAAUUCCGGCCACCUUCAUACUGUUCAAGGUGAUCGACGGUUUGAUUUGGCGGACGAUUCGUGAAAUUGUAUUUUGAGCUGUUAAGAAGACGCAGCGGGAAUUUAGAGCGGGUAAUCCUACAGGUCAGGAGAACCAGGACGGUGAUCGGGCUGCUUAGAGUAGUGUUAUGUGAAUUACAGCAUUAUAUUGUGAGGUUUGUUAUGCUCAUUUAGAGCUUUACGAUUUUACUUUGUAAGAGUGAAUUGUAAUAAUUAACUCGAGGUUUUCGAGUUUUGUGUUGA